CGAACGCUGGCGGCGCGCCUACCACAUGCACGUCGACCGAGCGAGAGAGAGCUUGCUUUCUUGAGCGAGUGGCGAACGGGUGAGUAACGCGUGAGGAACCUGCCUCAAAGAGGGGGACAACAGUUGGAAACGACUGCUAAUACCGCAUAAGCCCACGACCCGGCAUCGGGUUGAGGGAAAAGGAGCAAUCCGCUUUGAGAUGGCCUCGCGUCCGAUUAGCUAGUUGGUGAGGUAACGGCCCACCAAGGCGACGAUCGGUAGCCGGACUGAGAGGUUGAACGGCCACAUUGGGACUGAGACACGGCCCAGACUCCUACGGGAGGCAGCAGUGGGGAAUAUUGCACAAUGGGGGAAACCCUGAUGCAGCGACGCCGCGUGGAGGAAGAAGGUCUUCGGAUUGUAAACUCCUGUUGUUGAGGAAGAUAAUGACGGUACUCAACAAGGAAGUGACGGCUAACUACGUG
rnacentral:rRNA from 1 species